rnacentral:rRNA from 1 species
CGAGGCGGGUGCUAAUACAUGCAAGUCGAGCGAACAGACGAGGAGCUUGCUCCUCUGACGUUAGCGGCGGACGGGUGAGUAACACGUGGAUAACCUACCUAUAAGACUGGGAUAACUUCGGGAAACCGGAGCUAAUACCGGAUAAUAUAUUGAACCGCAUGGUUCAAUAGUGAAAGACGGUUUUGCUGUCACUUAUAGAUGGAUCCGCGCCGCAUUAGCUAGUUGGUAAGGUAACGGCUUACCAAGGCAACGAUGCGUAGCCGACCUGAGAGGGUGAUCGGCCACACUGGAACUGAGACACGGUCCAGACUCCUACGGGAGGCAGCAGUAGGGAAUCUUCCGCAAUGGGCGAAAGCCUGACGGAGCAACGCCGCGUGAGUGAUGAAGGUCUUCGGAUCGUAAAACUCUGUUAUUAGGGAAGAACAAAUGUGUAAGUAACUAUGCACGUCUUGACGGUACCUAAUCAGAAAGCCACGGCUAACUACGUGCCAGCAGCCGCGGUAAUACGUAGGUGGCAAGCGUUAUCCGGAAUUAUUGGGCGUAAAGCGCGCGUAGGCGGUUUUUUAAGUCUGAUGUGAAAGCCCACGGCUCAACCGUGGAGGGUCAUUGGAAACUGGAAAACUUGAGUGCAGAAGAGGAAAGUGGAAUUCCAUGUGUAGCGGUGAAAUGCGCAGAGAUAUGGAGGAACACCAGUGGCGAAGGCGACUUUCUGGUCUGUAACUGACGCUGAUGUGCGAAAGCGUGGGGAUCAAACAGGAUUAGAUACCCUGGUAGUCCACGCCGUAAACGAUGAGUGCUAAGUGUUAGGGGGUUUCCGCUCCUUAGUGCUGCAGCUAACGCAUUAAGCACUCCGCCUGGGGAGUACGACCGCAAGGUUGAAACUCAAAGGAAUUGACGGGGACCCGCACAAGCGGUGGAGCAUGUGGUUUAAUUCGAAGCAACGCGAAGAACCUUACCAAAUCUUGACAUCCUCUGACCCCUCUAGAGAUAGAGUUUUCCCCUUCGGGGGACAGAGUGACAGGUGGUGCAUGGUUGUCGUCAGCUCCUGUCGUGAGAUGUUGGGUUAAGUCCCCCACGAUCGCAACCCUUAAGCUUAUUGCCAUCAUUAAUUUGGCCACCUAAGUGGACUGCCGGUGACAACCCGAAGAAAGGGGGGAUGAGCUCAAAUCANCCUGCCCCUUAUGAUUCGGCCUACCCUUGCUAC